GCUUUGAUAGUUUAAAUUAAAACAUCGGUCUUGUAAAUCGAUAAUGAGGGGUUCCUCUCAAAUCU
rnacentral:tRNA from 1 species